CUUCUAUGUAGGUAUUCUCUGAAAAGUAUAGAUCCAGUUCUCAUGGCUCCUACCUGUGUUUUCCUGGCUUCUAAAGUUGAGGAAUUUGGAGUUGUAUCCAACACCAGGCUGAUCUCUGCAGCAACAUCUGUGUUGAAAACAAGAUUUUCCUUUGCCUUUCCAAAGGAGUUCCCCUACAGAAUGAAUCAUGUAAGUAAAAUAUUCUUGUGGCAGUUAAUAUAACAGGCACAGCAUCAUAAUAAAAAGAGGUAAAGUGAUCUUUUUUAUGUCAGUCAAAAAUACCUGUUUUGAGUUUUGAUGGUAAAUUGCACAGGACAGAAAGAGUUGAGGACAUUAGACAUGACAAAUAUUUAAGUUGUUGUCUUAUGUACAUGAUAUUUUAGUAAAGCAGAGAUUGAGGAAAAAAUGGACAGAAUUCAAUUGAUCUGAAAAGUUAUUUAUUAACCGCCAUGCCGCUUUACAACAUAACAAGAACCUUUUACUCUAUAUCACAGUGUCAUGGCAUUAAUGUCUAUUAAUAUGUGAGAUUCCCCAGCUAAUGUUCACACCCUUGUGAUGAAAACUCAGUUACUCUGAGAGGUAGCAUUGUACUGUGUGCUACAGUACGCACAGUUGUCGUGCACAGCAUCUCACAUUGUGGUGGCAAAUGCAGUGAGCUGCCACACGAUUAUUUAUCUAGCAUCACUGCAGGGUUUGCGGGACAUCACCAGCACAGCUUUGACAUGCCCUCUGACCAGAAAAGUGUGUAAAUUAUUAUUUAUAGAGGGCCACUGAAAAGUGAUAAUAGGAGGGAGUGGUUCACACAGCAGGGAGGGAAUUUGCAAGGUGAUGCUACUCAUAAACAUAAAUUUUUGUGUCUGCUUUUGCAGACAUAGUAAAAGAGAAUGAUGGAGUAGCACACAGACAGUUCUAAACAAAAAGCGGUGUAGAUUGUGAGCAGUCUAAUAUUUGCUGGUGG